rnacentral:rRNA from 1 species
CGGGACGGGUGAGUAACGCGUGGGUAACCUGCCUCAUACAGGGGGAUAACAGUUAGAAAUGACUGCCAAUACCGCAUAAGCGCACAGUACCGCAUGGUACCGUGUGAAAAACUCUGGUGGUAUGAGAUGGACCCGCGUCUGAUUAGCUAGUUGGUGAGGUAACGGCCCACCAAGGCGACGAUCAGUAGCCGACCUGAGAGGGUGACCGACCACAUUGGGACUGAGACACGGCCCAA